CAGUAGCCGCGGGAAUACGGAGGGGGCUAGCGUUGUUCGGAAUUACUGGGCGUAAAGCGCACGUAGGCGGCUUGGUAAGUUAGAGGUGAAAGCCCAGGGCUCAACCCCGGAAUUGCCUUUAAGACUGCCGAGCUAGUAGGUGAGAGAGGUGAAUGGAAUUCCGAGUGUAGAGGUGAAAUUCGUAGAUAUUCGGAAGAACACCAGUGGCGAAGGCGGCUCACUGGCUCAUUCUAGACGCUGAGGUGCGAAAGCGUGGGGAGCAAACAGGAUUAGAUACCCCCGUAGUCCCUGUCUCUUAUAC
rnacentral:rRNA from 1 species